UGAUUUUUUUUGUUGUUGUUUUAGUUUUAGGUUUUGUUCUGCUCAGAUUGAACGCUGGCGGCAGGCUUAACACAUGCAAGUCGAACGAUGACUCUCUAGCUUGCUAGAGAUGAUUAGUGGCGGACGGGUGAGUAACAUUUAGGAAUCUGCCUAGUAGUGGGGGAUAGCUCGGGGAAACUCGAAUUAAUACCGCAUACGACCUACGGGUGAAAGGGGGCGCAAGCUCUUGCUAUUAGAUGAGCCUAAAUCAGAUUAGCUAGUUGGUGGGGUAAAGGCCCACCAAGGCGACGAUCUGUAACUGGUCUGAGAGGAUGAUCAGUCACACCGGAACUGAGACACGGUCCGGACUCCUACGGGAGGCAGCAGUGGGGAAUAUUGGACAAUGGGGGCAACCCUGAUCCAGCCAUGCCGCGUGUGUGAAGAAGGCCUUUUGGUUGUAAAGCACUUUAAGCAGGGAGGAGAGGCUAAUGGUUAAUACCCAUUAGAUUAGACGUUACCUGCAGAAUAAGCACCGGCUACUCUGCAGGUCC
rnacentral:rRNA from 1 species